GACGGGGGGGGCAAGUGUUCUUCGGAAUGACUGGGCGUAAAGGGCACGGUAGGCGGUGAAUCGGGUUGAAAGUGAAAGUCGCCAAAAGUGGCGGAAUGCUCUCGAAACCAAUUCACUUGAGUGAGACAGAGGAAAGUGGAAUUUCGUGUGUAGGGGUGGAAUCCGUAAAUAUACGAAGGAACGCCAAAAGCGAAGGCAGCUCUCUGGGUCCCUACCGACGCGUGGGGUGCGAAAGCAUGGGGAGCGAACAGG
rnacentral:rRNA from 1 species